AAAAAAAGGGGCGGUAUGACCCGCCCACAUUUUUCCCUAGUCCCUGUGUUCCUUUUCAUCGUCCUGAUGAAUCGCUUCCUGCGAUGUCCUG
rnacentral:misc_RNA from 3 species